rnacentral:lncRNA from 1 species
AUACCAAUUUGCUUAUGUAGUCCUGUUAAACUCAAUAGCUGUUUGAUUGACAUUAUUAGUAUAUCCUGAAGGAUAAAAGGACAUAAAUAUUUUCUUUUACCUUAAUUAUUUAACCAUCAUGUUCCUGCAUCCUGCAUUCUGAAUCUUGUUAUUAAAAAUAGAGGCAUAAUGGUCCUAUGAAGCUUGGGUGUUCUUGCAAAACUAAAAGCCUAUAUAUAUAUAUCUACUUGUAAGAAUCAACAGUUGUUGUUCAUUUUUCUUCAAAAUGAAUAUAUAAACAAUUAAAUGAACUAAGUGAUAGCAAGGUGGAUA